rnacentral:rRNA from 1 species
UGGCGGACGGGUGAGUAACGCGUGGGUAACCUGCCUUACACAGGGGGAUAACACCUGGAAACAGGUGCUAAUACCGAAUAAGACCACGAUGCGGCAUCGCAUUGGGGUAAAAAGGUUACUGGACAGAGAUGAGCUCGCGUCCCAUUAUGGUAGUUGGUGAGGUAACGGCCCACCAAGCCGACGAUGGGUAGCCGGCCUGAGAGGGUGGCCGGCCACACUGGGACUGAGACACGGCCCAGACUCCUACGGAAGGCAGCAG